GACGAACGCUGGCGGCGUGCUUAACACAUGCAAGUCGAACGGAAAGGCCUGCUUUCCCUUGUGGAUUGCGGGUACUCGAGUGGCGAACGGGUGGGUAACACGUGAGUGAUCUGCCCCCAACUUGGGUAUAAGCCUGGGAAAUUGGGUCUAAUUCCCGAUAGGACUGCAGGGUGGUGCCUGUGGUGGAAAACGAUUUUCUAGUGGUUGGGGAUGAGCUCGCGGCCGAUCAGCUUGUUGGUGGGGUAAUGGCCUACCAAGGCGGCGACGGGUAGCCGGCCUGAGAGGGUGGACGGCCACAUUGGGACUGAGAUACGGCCCAGACUCCUACGGGAGGCAGCAGUGGGGAAUAGUGCACAAUGGGCGGAAGCCUGAUGCAGCGACGCCGCGUGGGGGAUGACGGCCUUCGGGUGGUAAACUCCUUUCGACCGCGAGGAAGCCACCUGGUUGGAAGGGUGGUGACGGUAGUGGUAGAAGAAGCACCGGCUAACUACGUG
rnacentral:rRNA from 1 species